ensembl:lncRNA
GGGCGCGUGCCUGCGCCUCCCACAGAAGACGUGUGCGUGUGUGGGGGGGCAGAGAGAUAGAGGACUCCUGGCAGAGCACAAAACCCACUCCCCGUGAAGCUGCGAGAAGGAAAAGCUCCGUUGUGUGUGUGUGAGUGAGUGUGUGUGAGUUUUUAAAUGUCAGAAAGCCCACGCACCGCCUCCACUGCUCGCGGGACUCUCCCAGGAUGCUGGACCCUCACGCCGGGCACAGAGUGGCAGGCUGCUUGAUUCUGCUCUCCCUCCUCCACAUCAACUUGUCUGCUGGCAGCUCAGGAAAAGGCUCACAGAGCCACGAUGAUAUGCAUGUCAUCCACAACAAUCAACUGGACUACGAAGAAGAAGAUAAAAUUACGUCUUGCAUGCGACGGCUCGGUGGAGCGGCGGUCGCAGCAAUGAAAUGCUUGAAAAAAUCAACAUGUUAUGAGUCUGUUUCAGAUCACGCCCUGUGUUCCAACUUACUGCUCCGCCACACAAAAUGAAGAAAUGCAUUUGGAUUGAAGUAGCUGUAAAAAAAGAAAAAAGAAAAAAGGAAAAGGUCUAGUUUCAUCCUGAUUCAGACGCUUUGAUGUAUUGUCUGUCAAGCUCCGCUCUUUCUGUAAGUAGAUGUGAGGCAAUAAUGUGCUCAUCUAGAGGAGGUUGUUUUGACUGAAAUCCAGUUAGCUUUUCACCCG